rnacentral:rRNA from 1 species
GAGUUUGAUCCUGGCUCAGAACGAACGCUGGCGGCAGGCUUAACACAUGCAAGUCGAGCGCCCCGCAAGGGGAGCGGCAGACGGGUGAGUAACGCGUGGGAAUCUACCCAUCUGUACGGAAUAACUCAGGGAAACUUGUGCUAAUACCGUAUACGCCCUUCGGGGGAAAGAUUUAUCGGAGAUGGAUGAGCCCGCGUUGGAUUAGCUAGUUGGUGGGGUAAUGGCCUACCAAGGCGACGAUCCAUAGCUGGUCUGAGAGGAUGAUCAGCCACACUGGGACUGAGACACGGCCCAGACUCCUACGGGAGGCAGCAGUGGGGAAUAUUGGACAAUGGGCGCAAGCCUGAUCCAGCCAUGCCGCGUGAGUGAUGAAGGCCCUAGGGUUGUAAAGCUCUUUCACCGGUGAAGAUAAUGACGGUACCCGGAGAA